CCUACGGGCGGCAGCAGUCGAGAAUCAUUCACAAUGGGGGAAACCCUGAUGGUGCGACGCCGCGUGGGGGAAUGAAGGUCUUCGGAUUGUAAACCCCUGUCAUGUGGGAGCAAAUUAAAAAGAUAGUACCACAAGAGGAAGAGACGGCUAACUCUGUGCCAGCAGCCGCGGUAAUACAGAGGUCUCAAGCGUUGUUCGGAAUCACUGGGCGUAAAGCGUGCGGAGGCUGUUUCGUAAGUCGUGUGUGAAAGGCGCGGGCUCAACCCGCGGACGGCACAUGAUACUGCGAGACUAGAGUACUGGAGGGGGAAGCGGAAUUCUCGGUGUAGCAGUGAAAUGCGUAGAUAUCGAGAGGAACACUCGUGGCGAAGGCGGGUUCCUGGACAUUAACUGACGCUGAGGCACGAAGGCCAGGGGAGCGAAAGGGAUUAGAUACCCUGGUAGUC
rnacentral:rRNA from 1 species